AGCCGACAUGUCUUGUCUUUUUUCCAGAUCACACCAGGAAGUGUAGCUACAGCUGAUAUCAUGGAGAUCUUAAAGGAAGAUGAUCCUGAACUGGAGGAUCCAGUUGAGCAGCUUCCACCCCACACUGCAGAAAGGACGUGUGUUGAUGCUCUUUUAAGUCUUAGUGAGGAAAGCUCCAUGAACAAUCUAGGGCCGUUUGAGUAUAAGUCUUACUCAGGCUGGGAAGAAGCUGUCUGUGGAUGGACCAAAGCAUCCCCACUAAGCUGCAUACUGGGAACUGAGACAAACCACAGGAAUUCAAAGCAGAGGGAAAAUGAUAAGCUGGCCUCUUCGUCCACACACCUAACACUCUCUAAAGCAGAGAAUUCAGUGGACCAGCAUAAGACCAAGAACCCCACCUCAGCAGGCAAGCGUUCAGCCUCACAGAGUCACACAUCUCCGUACAACCAUCAUUCUGAUACAGCAGAAGGGACUGUUUCCAAUACCAUGAAGUUGAGCAUGGGAAACCUGUUGAUAAAGGACAAAAUGGAGGAAGAAAGACCAAGAGAAAAUCCAGCAUUCCCACUAAAAUGCAAUGUGUCAGAGAAUGACCACAUCAAGCUUCUAAAGUACAGCCAUAGACUCUAUGAUAAUACAAUUCCCCUCAAAAACGUUACUUUCUUGCCCCCUAUUUGGUCACCAAUCCUGAAUUCAAAGAUGAGUCCCUGCAAGGGCAAGAAAGCCUCCCAAGCACGAACAUUAGUGGAAAACUGUGUUAUUUCAGACAAGUCGAGUAGCAGGACGAUAAGCGUGAACACGAUAACUAAGUCUGAUUCCACUCCUUAUCUAUGGAAGCACGUCUCCGAAAAUCAAACUUUUCAGCCAAAUUCCCAGGUCUUCCCUACAGAUAAGAAGUAUGGAAUACAAAUCUUUCCUGAACUUCAGACAUCUCACAAACCUAGCUGCCCCAUGGGAAACCGCACAACCCAUGCAAUCAUUAAAAAAGCCCAUGGACCUAUUCUGAUGAAAAACCAGGCUGUAUGACGACAAUCUGUGAAAUAAACUACCGUCAUGGCUUUCGUGAUAUGCA
rnacentral:lncRNA from 1 species